UGGGGAAUAUUGGACAAUGGGCGCAAGCCUGAUCCAGCAAUGCCGCGUGUGUGAAGAAGGCCUUCGGGUUGUAAAGCACUUUUAUCAGGAGCGAAAUACCACGGGUUAAUACCCUAUGGGGCUGACGGUACCUGAGGAAUAAGCACCGGCUAACUUCGUGCCAGCAGCCGCGGUAAUACGAAGGGUGCAAGCGUUAAUCGGAAUUACUGGGCGUAAAGCGUGCGUAGGUGGUGAUUUAAGUCUGCUGUGAAAUCCCCGGGCUCAACCUGGGAAUGGCAGUGGAUACUGGAUCGCUAGAGUGUGAUAGAGGAUGGUGGAAUUCCCGGUGUAGCGGUGAAAUGCGUAGAGAUCGGGAGGAACAUCAGUGGCGAAGGCGGCCAUCUGGAUCAACACUGACACUGAGGCACGAAAGCGUGGGGAGCAAACAGG
rnacentral:rRNA from 2 species